GACGAACCGAGCGAACGUUGUUCGGAAUCACUGGGCUUAAAGGGCGCGUAGGCGGGCCUGAAAGUCAAGGGUGAAAGCCCCCGGCUCAACCGGGGAAGUGCCCCUGAUACUUCAGGCCUCGAGGGAGGUAGGGGCGUGCGGAACUUCCGGUGGAGCGGUGAAAUGCGCAGAUAUCAGGAGGAACACCGGUGGCGAAGGCGGUUCUCUGGGAAUAUCCUGACGCUGAGGAGCGAAAGCGUGGGGAGCGAACAGG
rnacentral:rRNA from 1 species